GCGAGUGGGGCCCCGCGAGUCGCGAGGCGGAGAAGGGACCGCGGGCCGAGCCCUCUGCCGCUACCGCCAGAGCGCAUGCGCGGGGGGCCUUUUUCUUUCCCUUCCUCCCCCUCCCACCCUUGUUCCUCUCCUUUCCGCACUCCUGCGCCAGGCCAGAGCUGGAGGCUAGGACUCUGCCCCAGGAUCUUAGACCACCACAUUCGCGACCAGAUUCCUAGGGUAGGACCUCCUGAGAGGCUGGCCCUCCUGCUUAAGAAUUUACAUUUCCCUGUUGCUUGUGAAAUGGCACUGUGGCAGCUGACUCCUAUUCAUGCCUCAAGACCCAGCUAAUUUGUCACAUCCUCUGUGAAAAGUACCCCCACUCUGCUUUGGGGGAGUCGUUAGCAUUUUGUGCAGACCUACUUUAGUAUAAUCCAUGGAGAGGUAAUAUAUAACAGUUGCUUUUCACAAACCCACAGUACUAGGAUUUUAUGUUACUCAUAAUCUAGGGCAGUAUGCGAUAUUAUGAGUAUCUCGGCAAAGGUCUGAGGACUGUCAGAACGCAGGCAAUGACUACCCUGUGCCUUGUGGUCCUCCACCUCUGCUUAAUCAUGGUUUAAGACUCCCUGUAACCCAUGCACAGUAGAAUAUUGUUGCUUGUUUCCCCAAUAUGGAAACCUCUGAGUGGUAAUGUUAAUUACAGUGGUAAAUGCUUCACCCAGUUAAAAAGAUUUAUGGUCUUUUAUUAACCUAUCUUCACAAAGAGCCCAAUGGCAAUUGAUACUGUUGAGUCCAGAAAAAGGACACCAAGACAGAGAAAGGUCAAAUUUCCAAAGUUUAGCUAGCUUCAAAGGAAGGGCCCUGUGUGAGACACCUACGUUCACAAACAGAUAAACCCUCCCCUUCACAGGAUUCCCUUACUUUUGGUUGGGCUUUUUUGUUGCAGAAGCCAGACAGUUUGAGAGCCUCUGGCCAGAUUUAAUCAAAGAAAACAGCUGAAAUGUAAAAAUUUACUAACUGGUAGCUCUGUCUAGGCCAGUCAUCAUCACUGUUAAACUAGUGACUAUUGAGAUGAUUUUCAAGAAAUGGAACUAGCAAUGGAAUUCCAGGAAAAUGUUGGGAUAGAUGUUGAUCAAGAAACAAUGCUAAUAAGGGCUUCUGAGAAAUAAGGAAAAAUCACAUCCCAAAUCUCAAGUGUUGCAAUGUUGAUGGAUUCUUUUCAGUACUUACCCAUGGAUACAUAACAUGGAUUGAUCCCACCCAGUAGUUUCAGCUACUGCUUCAGAAAUACUAAUAGGAUUCCACUCUAAAUAUCUAGUCCAAAGUUCAUACUCUAGGAGAUUGUUAUUUUGGUGGCCCACAAUGAACCCUGCCUCCCCCGUAGCCAUCCUCUUGUGUAAUCCUCUCCCCGUGAUGCUAGGCUGGACCUGUCCCUGCUUUAAACAAUAGAAUGUGGGGGGAAGAAAGAACUUUAAGAAGCCUUUGCAGUGAGAACAUUGGAAUUACCAGAGACUGAGACUGGACACAUGGAAAAUGGAGACUAUUAAGAAAUCCCCCACCUGUUUGUGUUCUGGGAAACGGCUUCCAACAAAGAAGUGCUCUUGCCCAGGAGAAACACCAUGUAAGAAAUCCAACUACUCCGACACCACCAAGCUGUAAGGAGUCUCACGUAGCCACUUGGAGGGGCCAAAUGGAGAAAAACUGAGGCCCCCGCUAACAUCCCCACCUGUGCUCAACCUGCUACACAGCCCCACCGUCUUCUCACAGCAGAUCCUUAUCAUCCACCUCCUGAGCUACUGAGGAUUUGUCAGUUCCUUCUGUAUUGCAAGAGUCACACAUGCACCCAGAGUACCUUAGAGGUUUAUCAUCAAGCAGGAAGAGACCAGCCCAGGCAUCUCCUAUCACCUGCAUCCCAGCUGGAGGCCCAGCUGACUUAAGGAGAGCCACAGCAAUAAGCCUAUCCUUUAGGCCAUAACAGUAGCUCUAAGGAUGUAAUUUAUCUCUGGCCUCCUCAUCCCUAGUCUCCAAGAGAAAACCUGAGGGGUCUGCUCUUCCCCCAUCGACUGGUACAGGGCACCAUGAGCGGGCUGAGAGUGGCCUGCAGUCUAAGAAAA